UACAGAGGGUGCAAGCGUUGUUCGGAAUUACUGGGCGUAAAGCGCGUGUAGGCUGCGAUGUAAGUCGGACGUGAAAGCCCUUGGCUUAACCAAGGAAGUGCAUCCGAUACUGUGUCGCUUGAGUACCGGAGGGGAUGGCGGAAUUCCCGGUGUAGAGGUGAAAUGCGUAGAUAUCUGGAGGAAUACCGGUGGCGAAGGCGGCAUCCUGGACCGGCAUUGACGCUGAGGAGCGAAAGCCAGGGGAGCAAACGGG
rnacentral:rRNA from 1 species